CCGAAAGUUCUUCUGUUUUAAAAAAACACUCAAGGAAAUUGAAUUUGUAGUGAAGAUGCUACAUUAAAAUGGUUAGACGAGAAGUCCCCAUGGAGCUUUACUGAAAGCUUAAAAGAAAUUUUUUUAUUUAUUUAUAGGCUAGACAGUUUUGUUGGGGUGAUAGUUUUUUAAAAAGUAACGAAAACGAACUAUGACGCAUGUUUCACUCUGAAAACUUGAAGAGACAUUUGGGGUGUGUUUUAUGAUCUAUUGUUUUGAAUGAAAAAGAUAAUGAAAGCAGAUAAAAGUUACCCUGGGGAAA
rnacentral:rRNA from 1 species